AUUGAACGCUGGCGGCAUGCCUUACACAUGCAAGUCGAACGGUAACAGGUCUUCGGAUGCUGACGAGUGGCGAACGGGUGAGUAAUACAUCGGAACGUGCCCGAUCGUGGGGGAUAACGAAGCGAAAGCUUUGCUAAUACCGCAUAAGAUCUACGGAUGAAAGCAGGGGACCGCAAGGCCUUGCGCGAACGGAGCGGCCGAUGGCAGAUUAGGUAGUUGGUGGGAUAAAAGCUUACCAAGCCGACGAUCUGUAGCUGGUCUGAGAGGACGACCGGCCACACUGGGACUGGUACACGGCCCAGACUCCUGCGGGGGGCAGCAGUGGGGAAUUUUGGACAAUGGGCGAAAGCCUGAUCCAGCCAUGCCGCGUGCAGGAUGAAGGCCUUCGGGUUGUAAACUGCUUUUGUACGGAACGAAAAGACUCUUUCUAAUAAAGAGGGUCCAUGACGGUACCGUGAGAAUAAGCACCGGCUAACUACGUGCCAGCCGCCGCUGUAACAC
rnacentral:rRNA from 1 species